rnacentral:rRNA from 1 species
GGACGAGAACUUGCUUCUCUGAUGUUAGCGGCGGACGGGUGAGUAACACGUGGAUAACCUACCUAUAAGACUGGGAUAACUUCGGGAAACCGGAGCUAAUACCGGAUAAUAUUUUGAACCGCAUGGUUCAAAAGUGAAAGACGGUCUUGCUGUCACUUAUAGAUGGAUCCGCGCUGCAUUAGCUAGUUGGUAAGGUAACGGCUUACCAAGGCAACGAUGCAUAGCCGACCUGAGAGGGUGAUCGGCCACACUGGAACUGAGACACGGUCCAGACUCCUACGGGAGGCAGCAGUAGGGAAUCUUCCGCAAUGGGCGAAAGCCUGACGGAGCAACGCCGCGUGAGUGAUGAAGGUCUUCGUAUCGUAAAACUCUGUUAUUAGGGAAGAACAUAUGUGUAAGUAACUGUGCACAUCUUGACGGUACCUAACCAGAAAGCCACGGCUAACUACGUGCCAGCAGCCGCGGUAAUACGUAGGUGGCAAGCGUUAUCCGGAAUUAUUGGG